GUUCGAACGGUCGUUCACCCCGGGUCCAUAUUAUAUCGUACAGUCAUUUCUCUCAUCAUAGUUGAUCAAACGGUCGCAACUUUUUCAUAGUCUCUAAUGUUUAUCGCCUGAUGGUUUUCGCCGGAAAAGUCGGUUCCCGCAAGUUCUCUCCUGGCCGUCGGACAGGGUCUGCUCCUGGUUGGGAUAGUUUUUAAUACGUUCUCGGGUCUACUACUUUACUUUUAGUGGUGCUACCGUAGUGCUCUCUCUUAUCGUCCUCCUGCGGUUAGUUGGUGGAGUGGAGUGUCGCUGGCUGGCAAGAUUCGAAGCAGCAGUGCGGUGACCCCUUCGGAAGGCAGAAUAAUUCCACCCGAUUUCGUGAACAGUGCAACUGAUUGCUUUGGAAGAAAGGAAGAUUUUCUACGCAAGCUGAUAAGCCCCAGUGGCAUAGUUUGUCCCUUUAUACAAUCGAAAUUUUAAAUUGUGCAACUCUGUGUUUUGUGUGCUACAGUCUCUAGUGUCAGCCCGAAGCAAUGUAGUCGUCCGUAGUUUUUAAUUCGAGAAGAAUCGAAAGGGGCCAAUAUUAAUUGAAAGUGAAAAAAAAAUUAAGCUCAGAGACAACGCACUGCUGCUGUAACCAUGAUAAGAAUUUGGAGUGAAGGAACCCCUCCUUGGGGUGUCAACGGAGAGGUGUCCAUGAAAGAAUCGAGCAUGUGAGAAAAGUGAAGAAGACUGGCGACUCGGUGCUUCCUAGAUGAAGAUUUGUGUUUUCGGUGACGUUCUGAACGAUGUGUAGAAAAAGGGAAAAUGCAGUGAAAUCUAAACGCAGUGCGUGAGAAUUUGAAAGCAAUACUGCUUCUGUAGUGGAGUACUUCUAGUUGGAAGGUAAUUUGAAGAAGAAUUGAAUAAAAACGUCAAACUAAUUGACACUUCCAACAACUGUGGAAAGCGUGAAGAGGAAAAGGUGAUUGAAUUCCGGAAAGGACUGUGCAUUGUGCUUCAGUGUGGAGAAUAAGCGAAUUGCGGUGGGCCAUUUUUGUGUUUUCAGCAGAAGAACCUCCUCGUCGGUUGCAAGUGAAUGAAGAGACUUUGUGCGGCCGGAAUAGCCAAACACUUUUGGACAUAAAAUCGGAUUAUUGCAAGCGCUGCUUUGGUGGUCAAGGAAACGAAAACUAUCUUGUGACAGGUGUUUGAUGUUCUAUGUGUCAAGGAAAAGAGAGUAAGAAAUUAGUGAACGCAGGAUAGUGUGGUAAAAUAUCUUAGAGAGAAAACCAGAUGUUGUGAAUUAACCGAAACGGGAAUAGAAAACUCAUGUUUUGAGAAGUCUAUGAAAUCUGAGUGAAAAAAGUUACUUAAAAAGUGAAGUGAAGCGGAAAACUUCUAUUCUAUGUGUACACCGUAGCAUGGCAGAUGAUAAUGGCCGACUUUAUUGAUUUAAGGUACUCCACCAGUGGAGGUUUAAGGAGACGGCCAGACAAAAUGCUGCCGAAUUUCUUGAUAAGGCCCUCAAGAAGUGGGAAGCAACGUUCCGAACACGGUGUAUUCGAAUCGCGCCAUAUGGGUCGUAGACAUCCGUCCGGGCGGGCGCAAACACCACGCGACAAUCUAAAAAAAGACGCAAAAAUCUUUGCAAAUGCAAUCGUUCGUUCCGGUCCGACCCCCUGCUCGCUGCCUGGAGCAUUCACCGAGCGCGUGAAGAUGUCCCUGAAAAUUCUAACUUAAUGUGACAAAAGCAGUGCGAACCGCGCAAAAACUAAACGCGGAGAUCGACGGAUU